AUUGAACGCUGGCGGCAUGCCUUACACAUGCAAGUCGAACGGUAACAGGUCUUCGGAUGCUGACGAGUGGCGAACGGGUGAGUAAUACAUCGGAACGUGCCUAGUAGUGGGGGAUAACUACUCGAAAGAGUGGCUAAUACCGCAUGAGAUCUACGGAUGAAAGCAGGGGAUCGCAAGACCUUGUGCUACUAGAGCGGCCGAUGGCAGAUUAGGUAGUUGGUGGGAUAAAAGCUUACCAAGCCGACGAUCUGUAGCUGGUCUGAGAGGACGAUCGGCCACACUGGGACUGGAACACGGCCCAGACUCCUACGGGGGGCAGCAGUGGGGAAUUUUGGACAAGGGGCGCAAGCCUGAUCCAGCAAUGCCGCGUGCAGGAUGAAGGCCUUCGGGUUGUAAACUGCUUUUGUACGGAACGAAAAGCCCUGGGUUAAUACCCUGGGGUCAUGACGGUACCGUAAGAAUAAGCACCGGCUAACUACGUGCCAGCAGCCGCCGUAAAAC
rnacentral:rRNA from 1 species